UACGAAGGGGGCUAGCGUUGCUCGGAAUCACUGGGCGUAAAGCGCACGUAGGCGGAUUGUUAAGUCGGGGGUGAAAUCCUGGAGCUCAACUCCAGAACUGCCUUCGAUACUGGCGAUCUAGAGUCCGGGAGAGGUGAGUGGAACUGCGAGUGUAGAGGUGAAAUUCGUAGAUAUUCGCAAGAACACCAGCGGCGAAGGCGGCGCUCUGGGCCGGUACUGACGCUGAGGAGCGAAAGCGUGGGGAGCAAACAGG
rnacentral:rRNA from 1 species